rnacentral:rRNA from 1 species
UACAGAGGGUGCGAGCGUUGUUCGGAAUUAUUGGGCGUAAAGGGCGCGUAGGCGGUGCGGUAAGUCACCUGUGAAAUCUCCUGGCUCAACUGGGAGCUUGCAGGCGAAACUGCCGUGCUGGAGUGUGGGAGAGGUGAGUGGAAUUCCCGGUGUAGCGGUGAAAUGCGUAGAGAUCGGGAGGAACACCAGUGGCGGAGGCGGCUACCUGGACCAGCACUGACACUGAGGCACGAAAGCGUGGGUAGCAAACAGG